rnacentral:lncRNA from 1 species
GAGGUGAUGAUCCCAGCCCACCUCAAGGUUACGGCAGCCCUCCGGACGUGAUAAUUAUCUACGGCCUCGGAGGCUUGUGCCUCAUUUUCGUACUUCUGUUGGCGAUCUACGGCGCAAACUACAUCAUUCAAUCUAAGCAAGAAGUCAGGCUGCUUGAAUCCGAAAGAAACGAUUCCUGGAUCCCGAGAGUUCCAGAGUGGCCGUCGUCCGAAGAGGUCCCGAUACCGGUGGUGAUUGCCACGUCUCGUCUGGCCAGGAUCAGUCCUCGCUCGUCGCUGACGGCGUUCCCGACGUUGGAGACGUUCCUCCGGCAAGACUACUACUUGACAAGACAGAAUGACGUCGGCGUGCCAGGAGGGACGGGAGGUGAACGGGUUCACUCAAGACCAGCUCUCGAGACAGCUUUAUAGACUGACGGCCUGUCUCCAAACGAAGUCUGCGUUUGCCCACACCAGGUGUGAGCACAGCGCAUGCGCAGAAACCAGAUUGACGCGAAGUAAAGCGUCUGCGCAUGCGCCGGGCCCACCGCAACGGCGUGGCGUCAAAGACGCAUGUUGGUUUUGAGCUAGACUGGAUUUUCCGGUGUUUAUUUAUAAAAAAAAAGAAAAGAAAAUCGGGGGAUGUUUUUCGGUAUUUAGUUUUUUUUUUUAAGAUAUCCGAGUAUUCAAUUAUAUAUAUAAUUCGGACAGUUGCCAAAAAACGGUCAUUCGUUAACUAACGCGAAACUAGGAAUUUUACUAUAAGAGGGGAGAGUUUGGACAAAAACAGUCCUGUCUAAAACAAAAAUUUCAAAAAUGUUUUUUUUUUUAUUUUGUAUUGACACCAACGGAUGUUUUUGGUGUUCUUCGGUUAACACCGAAAUGUCCACACGUUAUAGCCCACCUGACAGCCAUUGUAUAAAAUUAAGUGCUUUAGGGACCCUACACACUUCUCAAAGUGAAAGUCUCCGAAGUUUUCUAGUCUCUCCAUCGAGCUAUGCAGACAUUGUCGGAGGCGUGUGUCUUCCUUGUACGGGAGUCCUGUCACAUUAAUCGUACAAAAACCUGUCCGAAGACAUGUUCAAGCAUAUUGGAAGCAUACUUCGAACAUGCCUGAAACAGGUUCGCUGAUAAUUAAGUCACCAUGUCUGCGCCGCGUCUGUUGUAUGUGUGUUCAUGAGUAGUAUUACUAAGGGCUUGAGACACGCCAGCACACUCUGAAGCCCGGAUGCGCACAUACAUGCGCAGACGGCCACUCUACUAACCAGAAAUGUUAAUCAUCUAUGGGCAUGUGACCCGCUUGUGUCUAUGGCGAAAAUAUUUGCCGAUUUGCAUUAUCAGCAGCUCUUUCUUCAGACCUAUGUUGUGCGCUUGUUGUCCCGUUCAUCUGCUGUCUUGUCGGACGUGGGAUCGGCAUUAAUGACGGGCCGAGUUGACUUCCAUCGGCUACAUGCCACAAAUCACUAUGUUAUCAUUGCCGUUCGUUUUUGUUUUCUUUCGAAGUUGCUCAAUGUUUGAGACACAAUAGACUGAUAUCAAAGAAGAGUCAAAGGGUUGAUACUGUUAUUGACUAUAGAUAGGUACACGAGGAGAGAUCUCAAGGGAAAGCCAAAUUUUGACACUUUUUUUAACUAGUAGGAACGCGGCUCUUAUCAUUCAGUGUUUAGAAGAAAAUAACAUCAUCGUUGUCGUCAUAGCUUUUGUCGUGAUGUUCAUCAUUAUCUUAAUUAUUAUUGGUAUUAUAAUCACCAUAACCAUCCACAUUAUGCUUUCUAAUCACCAUGUCUAUUUUAUUUCUACAAUCCGAGCAGAGUAACCAACUUGGUUAAUAUGAACAAACGUUUAAACCCUAACCCAUCAAAUCAGGAAUGUGCCAGCAACAUACGGACUCAAAACCAGUUGUUCUAGCACUCUAGCUCUAGUGUCACAUGCAACAUAGACAGUAUGCUUGAACAGCAACUUGAAGAUGUAACCGCGGCGUAGACGCAUGCCCGACAUCGUGUUACAGUUCUUGUGUGCAGCAGAUUUCCUGUGCCGUAAUCAUGAUAUAUAUGUUUCAGCGUUUCGUUUCCGUUAGCAGAUGAAAAAGAAAUAUUAAUCAAUAAAAGUUUGGAUAAACAGUUCUAGCAAGGAA